rnacentral:rRNA from 1 species
UUCGCAAUGCCCGAAAGGGUGACGAAGCGACGCCGCGUGUGGGAAGAAGGCCUUCGGGUUGUAAACCACUGUCGGGAGUUAAGAAAUGCAAGGAUAUGAAUAGUGUCUUUGCUUGACUAAGGCUCCGGAGGAAGCCACGGCUAACUCUGUGCCAGCAGCCGCGGUAAUACAGAGGCGGCAAGCGUUGUUCGGAAUUAUUGGGCGUAAAGGGCACGUAGGCGGCUAUGUAAGUCGGUUGUGAAAGCCUUCCGCUCAACGGGAGAACAGCAUCCGAUACUACAUGGCUUGAGUGCGGGAGGGGAGAGUGGAACUUCUGGUGGAGCGGUGAAAUGCGUAGAUAUCAGAAGGAACGCCGGCGGCGAAAGCGGCUCUCUGGCCCAUAACUGACGCUGAGUGUGCGAAAGCUAGGGGAGCAAACGGGAUUAGAUACCCCGGUAGUCCUAGCCGUAAACGAUGGGCACUAAGUAGAGGGGUUUU